GGGGGAUUAGUGGUGAACGGGUGAGUGCACGUGAGUAACGUGCCCUGGACUCUGGGAUAACUGCGAGAGAUCGGUAGCUAAUCGCGGAUAGGACCUUGCACCACAUGGUGUGGGGUGGAAAGUUUUUCGGUUUGGGAUGGACUCCCGGCCUAUCACCUUGUUGGUGAGGUAAUGGCUCACCAAGGCGUCGACGGGUAGCCGGCCUGAGAGGGUGACCGGCCACACUGGGACUGAGACACGGCCCACACUCCUACGGGAGGCAGCAGUGGGGAAUAUUGCACAAUGGGCGCAAGCCUGAUGCACCAACGCCGCGUGCGGGAUGACGGCCUUCGGGUUGUAAACCGCUUUUAUUAGGGAAGAAACCUUCGGGUGACUGUACCUGCAAAAAAAGGACCGGCUAACUACGUGCCAGCCGCCGCGGCAAUACGUAGGGUCCGAGCGUUGUCCGGAAUUAUUGGGCGUAAAGAGCUCGUAGGCGGUUUGUCGCGUCUGCUGUGAAAACUAUUAGGCUCAUCCUC
rnacentral:rRNA from 1 species